rnacentral:rRNA from 1 species
AUAUGCUCCUAACAGCUAGCCCCUUCCCCAAAAAGCAACAAACAACAUUAAUAACCCCAAAGCCCUCAAUAAGCCUAAAACAAACCAUUUUACCCCCCUAGUAUGGGAGACAGAAAAGGAAAUAUGGGCGCAAUAGAAAAAGUACCGCAAGGGAAAGCUGAAAGAGAAAUGAAACAACCCAGUAAAGAGCAAAAAAGCAGAGAUGUAUACUCGUACCUUUUGCAUCAUGACUUAGCUAGAACAAUCAGGCAAAAUGAAUUUUAGUUUGAACCCCCGAAACUAAGCGAGCUACUUCAAGACAGCCUAUAAGGGCAAACCCGUCUCUGUUGCAAAAGAGUGGGAAGAUCUUCAAGUAGAGGUGACAGACCUACCGAGCUUAGUUAUAGCUGGUUGCCUACAAAAUGAAUAGAAGUUCAGCCUCUAGUACUUCUUCACUCCCCACCGUACCACAAAAACUGACAAUGAAGAAGCCUAAAGAGUUAUUCGAGGGGGGGACAGCCCCCUUGAAAAAAGACACAACUUUCUUAGAAGGCUAAAGAUUAAAAGUCCUAAGGCAAUGUACUUUAGUGGGCCUAAAAGCAGCCACCCAAGAAGAAAGCGUUAAAGCUCAAGUACUAGCCCCUCCAUAAUUUCAACAACAAACUCUUAAGCCCCUAAACAAUAGUAGGCCCUUUCAUGCAAACAUGAAAAAGAUACUGCUAACAUGAGUAAUAAGAGGGUCGGACCCUCUCCCUCAACACCUGCUUACAUCAGAACGAACCCCCACUGAAAAUUAACGCCCCCAACAAAAGAGGGUAAUGAGACACCCUCCAACAAACAAGAAGACCCCUCAUAACAAAGCGUUAACCCUACACAGGUGUGUUUAAGGAAAGACUAAAAGGAAAAGAAGGAACUCGGCAAACACUGGCCUCGCCUGUUUACCAAAAACAUCGCCUCUUGCAUCUUUUAAUGUAUAAGAGGUCCCGCCUGCCCUGUGACUUAAUAGUUCAACGGCCGCAGUAUUUUGACUGUGCGAAGGUAGCGUAAUCACUUGUCUUUUAAAUGAAGACCUGUAUGAAUGGCAUAACGAGGGCUAAACUGUCUCCUUUCCCCAGUCAAUGAAAUUGAUCUCCCCGUGCAGAAGCGAGGAUAAAUCCAUAAGACGAGAAGACCCUAUGGAGCUUAAGACACAGGGCAGACCUUGUAAAAACACCUAAACUAAAAGAAUUAACAAAAUGGUAUCCUGCCCCCGUCUUUGGUUGGGGCGACCGCGGGGCAACAAGAAUCCCCCACGAGGAACAGGAGCUCUUACUCCUUAAAGCUAGAGCUACCACUCUAACUAACAGAACAUCUGACCUACAAGAUCCGGCAAAGCCGAUCAACGGACCGAGUUACCCUAGGGAUAACAGCGCAAUCCCCUUUUAGAGCCCAUAUCGACAAGGGGGUUUACGACCUCGAUGUUGGAUCAGGACACCCUAAUGGUGCAGCCGCUAUUAAGGGUUCGUUUGUUCAACGAUUAAAGUCCUACGUGAUCUGAGUUCAGACCGGAGAAAUCCAGGUCAGUUUCUAUCUAUGAAUGCUCUUUUCUAGUACGAAAGGACCAAAAAGAGGAGGCCCAUGCUAUAAGCAAGCCUCCCCCCUACCUAAUGAAGUCAACUAAAAUAGGUAAAGGGGGGUACAACUCUGCCUGAGAAAAAGGCAA